rnacentral:tRNA from 1 species
AGGGAUUUAGCUCAGUGGCACAGCUCCUGCCUGGCAAGCACAAGGCCCUGAGUUUGAUUCCCAGUAACCCCC